rnacentral:tRNA from 1 species
GUCUUUUUAGUUUAGUUUAGAAUGUCUUAUUUACUAUAAGGAGGUAAGUUGAGAUU